rnacentral:rRNA from 1 species
AACGAACGCUGGCGGCAGGCCUAACACAUGCAAGUCGAGCGCCCCGCAAGGGGAGCGGCGGACGGGUUAGUAACGCGUGGGAAUGUACCCUUUUCUACGGAAUAGCCUCGGGAAACUGAGGUUAAUACCGUAUACGCCCGGUAACGGGGAAAGAUUUAUCGGAGAAGGAUCAGCCCGCGUAAGAUUAGAUAGUUGGUGGGGUAAUGGCCUACCAAGUCUACGAUCUUUAGCUGGUUUGAGAGGAUGAUCAGCAACACUGGGACUGAGACACGGCCCAGACUCCUACGGGAGGCAGCAGUGGGGAAUCUUAGACAAUGGGCGCAAGCCUGAUCUAGCCAUGCCGCGUGAGUGAAGAAGGCCUUAGGGUCGUAAAGCUCUUUCAGUGGGGAAGAUAAUGACGGUACCCACAGAAGAAACCCCGGCUAACUCCGUG